UACGUAGGCAGCGAGCGUUGUUCGGAGUUACUGGGCGUAAAGAGUGCGUAGGCGGUUUUCUAAGUUUGGUGUGAAAUCUCCCGGCUUAACUGGGAGGUGCGCCGAAAACUGGAAGGCUUGAGUAUGGGAGAGGUAAGCGGAAGUUCCUGGUGUAGCGGUGAAAUGCGUAGAUAUCAGGAGGAACACCUGCGGUGUAGAUGCGUUACUGGACCAUAACUGACGCUGAGGCACGAAAGCGUGGGGAGCAAACGGG
rnacentral:rRNA from 1 species